AUACGUAGGGGGCGAGCGUUGUCCGGAAUGAUAGGGCGUAAAGGGCGCGUAGGCGGCCCGGUAAGUCUGGAGUGAAAGUCCUGUUUUUAAGAUGGGAAUUGCUUUGGAUACUGUCGGGCUUGAGUGCAGGAGAGGUAAGUGGAAUUCCCAGUGUAGCGGUGAAAUGCGUAGAGAUUGGGAGGAACACCAGUGGCGAAGGCGACUUACUGGACUGUAACUGACGCUGAGGCGCGAAAGUGUGGGGAGCAAACAGGAUUAGAUACCCUGGUAGUCCACACUGUAAACGAUGAAUGCUAGGUGUAGGGGGUAUCGACCCCUUCUGUGCCGCAGUCAACACAAUAAGCAUUCCGCCUGGGGAGUACGGCCGCAAGGUUGAAACUCAAAUGAAUUGACGGGG
rnacentral:rRNA from 1 species